rnacentral:rRNA from 1 species
UACGUAGGGGCCUAGCGUUGUCCGGAAUUAUUGGGCGUAAAGAGCUCGUAGGCGGUGUGUCACGUCGUUCGUGAAAACCUGCAGCUUAACUGUGGGCGUGCGGUCGAUACGGGCAUCACUGGAGUUCGGCAGGGGAGACUGGAAUUCCUGGUGUAGCGGUGAAAUGCGCAGAUAUCAGGAGGAACACCGGUGGCGAAGGCGGGUCUCUGGGCCGAUACUGACGCUUAGGAACGAAAGCGUGGGGAGCGAACAGG